rnacentral:rRNA from 1 species
AACGUAGGACGCAAGCGUUAUCCGGAGUUACUGGGCGUAAAGCGCGGGCAGGCGGCUCGAUGCGUCUGAUGUGAAAUCUCCUCGCUCAACGGGGAGAGGCCAUUGGAAACGGUCGAGCUGGAGGGCAGUAGAGGUAGGCGGAAUUCCGGGUGGAGUGGUGAAAUGCGUAGAGAUCCGGAGGAACACCAGAGGCGAAGGCGGCCUACUGGGCUGCACCUGACGCUGAGACGCGAAAGCCAGGGGAGCGAACGGG